rnacentral:rRNA from 1 species
UAACACAUGCAAGUCGAGCGGUAGAGAGAAGCUUGCUUCUCUUGAGAGCGGCGGACGGGUGAGUAAUGCCUAGGAAUCUGCCUAGUGGUGGGGGAUAACGUUCGGAAACGGACGCUAAUACCGCAUACGUCCUACGGGAGAAAGCGGGGGACCUUCGGGCCUCGCGCCAUUAGAUGAGCCUAGGUCGGAUUAGCUAGUUGGUGAGGUAAUGGCUCACCAAGGCUACGAUCCGUAACUGGUCUGAGAGGAUGAUCAGUCACACUGGAACUGAGACACGGUCCAGACUCCUACGGGAGGCAGCAGUGGGGAAUAUUGGACAAUGGGCGAAAGCCUGAUCCAGCCAUGCCGCGUGUGUGAAGAAGGUCUUCGGAUUGUAAAGCACUUUAAGUUGGGAGGAAGGGUAGUAACUUAAUACGUUGCUACUUUGACGUUACCGACAGAAUAAGCACCGGCUAACUUCGUGCCAGCAGCCGCGGUAAUACGAAGGGUGCAAGCGUUAAUCGGAAUUACUGGGCGUAAAGCGCGCGUAGGUGGUUCAGUAAGUUGAAUGUGAAAUCCCCGGGCUCAACCUGGGAACUGCAUCCAAAACUGCUGAGCUAGAGUACGGUAGAGGGUAGUGGAAUUUCCUGUGUAGCGGUGAAAUGCGUAGAUAUAGGAAGGAACACCAGUGGCGAAGGCGACUACCUGGACUGGUACUGACACUGAGGUGCGAAAGCGUGAGUAGCAAACAGGAUUAGAUACCCUGGUAUCCACGCCGUAAA